rnacentral:tRNA from 1 species
UAUUUUAAUAGCUUAUAUUUAAAGUUUAAUAUUGAAGAUAUUAAGAAAGCUUUUUUUGCUUUAAAAUAU